rnacentral:rRNA from 1 species
AAUAUUGGACAAUGGGCGAAAGCCUGAUACAGCCAUGCCGCGUGUGUGAAGAAGGNCUNNGGAUUNUNAAGCACUUUAAGUAGNNNNNAAGGGCAGCAANUUAAUACCUUGCUGUUAUGACGUUACCGACAGAAUAAGCACCGGCGAACUUCGUGCCAGCAGCCGCGGUAAUACGAAGGGUGCAAGCGUUAAUCGGAAUUAUGGGGAUUAAAGCGCGUGUAGGUGGUUUAUUAAGUUGGAAGUGAAAGCCCCGGGCUCAACCUGGGAACUGCUUUCAAAACUGGCAAGCUAGAGUAUGGCAGAGGGUGGUGGAAUUUCCUGUGUAGCGGUGAAAUGCGUAGAUAUAGGAAGGAACACCAGUGGCGAAGGCGACUACCUGGACUGUUACUGACACUGAGGUGCGAAAGCGUGGGGAGCAAACA